rnacentral:rRNA from 1 species
AUUGAACGCUGGCGGCAGGCCUAACACAUGCAAGUCGAACGAGUGGCGGACGGGUGAGUAAUGUCUGGGAAACUGCCCGAUGGAGGGGGAUAACUACUGGAAACGGUAGCUAAUACCGCAUACCAUCGGAUGUGCCAAGAUGGGAGUAGCUAGUAGGUGGGGUAAUGGCUACCCUAGGCGACGAUCCCUAGCUGGUCGGAGAGGAUGACAAGCCAGACUGGAACUGAGACACGGUCCAGACUCCUACGGGAGGCAGCAGUGGGGAAUAUUGCACAAUGGGCGCAAGCCUGAUGCAGCCAUGCCGCGUGUAUGAAGAAGGCCUUCGGGUUGUAAAGUACUUUCAGCGGGGAUGCGUUACCCGCAGAAGAAGCACCGGCUAACUCCGUGCCAGCAGCCGCGGUAAUAC